rnacentral:rRNA from 1 species
GAUGAACGCUGGCGGCGUGCCUAACACAUGCAAGUCGAGCGAACGGACGAGAAGCUUGCUUCUCUGAUGUUAGCGGCGGACGGGUGAGUAACACGUGGAUAACCUACCUAUAAGACUGGGAUAACUUCGGGAAACCGGAGCUAAUACCGGAUAAUAUUUUGAACCGCAUGGUUCAAAAGUGAAAGACGGUCUUGCUGUCACUUAUAGAUGGAUCCGCGCUGCAUUAGCUAGUUGGUAAGGUAACGGCUUACCAAGGCAACGAUGCAUAGCCGACCUGAGAGGGUGAUCGGCCACACUGGAACUGAGACACGGUCCAGACUCCUACGGGAGGCAGCAGUAGGGAAUCUUCCGCAAUGGGCGAAAGCCUGACGGAGCAACGCCGCGUGAGUGAUGAAGGUCUUCGGAUCGUAAAACUCUGUUAUUAGGGAAGAACAUAUGUGUAAGUAACUGUGCACAUCUUGACGGUACCUAAUCAGAAAGCCACGGCUAACUACGUGCCAGCAGCCGCGGUAAUACGUAGGUGGCAAGCGUUAUCCGGAAUUAUUGGGCGUAAAGCGCGCGUAGGCGGUUUUUUAAGUCUGAUGUGAAAGCCCACGGCUCAACCGUGGAGGGUCAUUGGAAACUGGAAAACUUGAGUGCAGAAGAGGAAAGUGGAAUUCCAUGUGUAGCGGUGAAAUGCGCAGAGAUAUGGAGGAACACCAGUGGCGAAGGCGACUUUCUGGUCUGUAACUGACGCUGAUGUGCGAAAGCGUGGGGAUCAAACAGGAUUAGAUACCCUGGUAGUCCACGCCGUAAACGAUGAGUGCUAAGUGUUAGGGGGUUUCCGCCCCUUAGUGCUGCAGCUAACGCAUUAAGCACUCCGCCUGGGGAGUACGACCGCAAGGUUGAAACUCAAAGGAAUUGACGGGGACCCGCACAAGCGGUGGAGCAUGUGGUUUAAUUCGAAGCAACGCGAAGAACCUUACCAAAUCUUGACAUCCUUUGACAACUCUAGAGAUAGAGCCUUCCCCUUCGGGGGGGGCAAAGUGACAGGUGGUGCAUGGUUGUCGUCAGCUCGUGUCGUGAGAUGUUGGGUUAAGUCCCGCAACGAGCGCAACCCUUAAGCUUAGUUGCCAUCAUUAAGUUGGGCACUCUAAGUUGACUGCCGGUGACAAACCGGAGGAAGGUGGGGAUGACGUCAAAUCAUCAUGCCCCUUAUGAUUUGGGCUACACACGUGCUACAAUGGACAAUACAAAGGGCAGCGAAACCGCGAGGUCAAGCAAAUCCCAUAAAGUUGUUCUCAGUUCGGAUUGUAGUCUGCAACUCGACUACAUGAAGCUGGAAUCGCUAGUAAUCGUAGAUCAGCAUGCUACGGUGAAUACGUUCCCGGGUCU